UGAAUACGAGACGCUAAGGCGUCGAAGUAGUGUAUGUCAUACUUCCAAGAAAAGCUUGCACUGUCAUAGAUAAAAAACGCCUGUACCAUAACCGUCACAGGUGGGUAGGUAGAGUAUACUAAGGGGCGCGAGAUAACUCUCUCUAAGGAACUCGGCAAAAUAACUCCGUAACUUCGGGAGAAGGAGUGCCUUAUUUAUAAGGCUGCAAUAACAAGAUCCAAGCAACUGUUUAUCAAAAACACAGGUCUCCGCUAAGUCGUAAGACGAUGUAUGGGGGCUGACGCCUGCCCAGUGCCAGAAGGUUAAAGAAGUUGGUUAGCUUUUGCGAAGCUGAUAACUGAAGCCCUGGUGAACGGCGGCCGUAACAAUAACGGUCCUAAGGUAGCGGAAUUCCUUGUCGGGUAAGUUCCGACCCGCACGAAAGGCGUAAUGAUUUGGAUACUGUCUCGGAGAGGGGCUCGGUGAAAUAGACUUGUCUGUGAAGAUGCGGACUACCUGCACCAGGACAGAAAGACCCUAUGAAGCUUUACUGUAACUUGAAAUUGAAAUUGGACUUUAUUCGCGCAGCAUAGGUGGGAGGCGCUGAUUAUAAUCUCGUGGGAUUAUUGGAGCCAUCAGUGAGAUACCACUCUCGUAAUGUUAGAUUCCUAACUUUGAAUCAUUAUCUGGUCAAAGAACAGUUUCAGGCGGGCAGUUUGACUGGGGCGGUCGCCUCCUAAACGGUAACGGAGGCGUACAAAGGUUUCCUCUGAACGGUUAGAAAUCGUAUCUAGAGUGUAAAGGCAUAAGGGAGCUUGACUGUGAGACCUACAAGUCGAGCAGGGACGAAAGUCGGUCUUAGUGAUCUGACGGUACUGAGUGGAAAGGCCGUCACUCAACGGAUAAAAGUUACUCUAAGGAUAGCAGGCUGAUCUCCCCCAAGAGUUCACAUCGACGGGGAGGUUUGGCACCUCGAUGUCGGCUCAUCGCAUCCUGGGGCGGUAGUACGUCCCAAGGGUUGGGCUGUUCGCCCAUGAAAGCGGUACGCGAGCUGGGUUCAGAACGUCGUGAGACAGUUCGGUCCAUAUCCGGUGUAGGCGUUAGAAUAUUGAGAGGAGCCUUCUUUAGUACGAGAGGACCGAGAAGGACAUACCUCUGGUGUACCAGUUAUCGUGCCAACGGUAAGCGCUGGGUAGCUAUGUAUGGAGUGGAUAACCGCUGAAAGCAUCUAAGUGGGAAGCCCACCUCAAGAUAAGUAUUCUCAC
rnacentral:rRNA from 1 species